GAUGAACGCUGGCGGCGUGCCUAAUACAUGCAAGUCGAGCGAACAGAUGAGGAGCUUGCUCCUCUGACGUUAGCGGCGGACGGGUGAGUAACACGUGGAUAACCUACCUAUAAGACUGGGAUAACUUCGGGAAACCGGAGCUAAUACCGGAUAAUAUAUUGAACCGCAUGGUUCAAUAGUGAACGACGGUUUUGCUGUCACUUAUAGAUGGAUCCGCGCCGCAUUAGCUAGUUGGUAAGGUAACGGCUUACCAAGGCAACGAUGCGUAGCCGACCUGAGAGGGUGAUCGGCCACACUGGAACUGAGACACGGUCCAGACUCCUAAGGGAGGCAGCAGUAGGGAAUCUUCCGCAAUGGGCGAAAGCCUGACGGAGCAACGCCGCGUGAGUGAUGAAGGUCUUCGGAUCGUAAAACUCUGUUAUUAGGGAAGAACAAAUGUGUAAGUAACUAUGCACGUCUUGACGGUACCUAAUCAGAAAGCCACGGCUAACUACGUG
rnacentral:rRNA from 1 species